GAAAUGCGAUAAGUAAUGUGAAUUGCAGAAUUCAGUGAAUCAUCGAAUCUUUGAACGCACCUUGCGCUCCUUGGUAUUCCUUGGAGCAUGCCUGUUUGAGUAUCAUGAAAUCUUCAAAGUAAAUCAUUUGUUAACUCAAUUGGUUUCUACUUUGGUAUUGGAGGUCUUUGCAGCUUCACACCUGCUCCUCUUUGUUCAUUAGCUGGAUCUCAGUGUUAUGCUUGGUUCCACUCGGCGUGAUAAGUUAUCUAUCGCUGAGGACACUGUAAAAGGUGGCCAAGGUAAAUGCAGAUGAACCGCUUCUAAUAGUCCAUUGACUUGGACAAUACUUUUAUGAUCUGAUCUCAAAUCAGGUAGGACUACCCGCUGAACUUAAGC
rnacentral:misc_RNA from 1 species